GUGUCAGCCGCCGCGGUAAUACGUAGGGGGCGAGCGUUAUUCGGAAUUACUGGGUGUAAAGGGUAUGUAGGCGGCCUCACAAGUCGCGUGUCAAAGUCCAGCGCUCAACGCUGGGUUCGCACGUGAUACUGUCCGGCUUGAGGACUGGAGAGGUGAGUGGAAUUCCCGGUGUAGUGGUAAAAUACGUAGAUAUCGGGAGGAACACCAGCGGCGUAGGCGGCUCACUAGACAGUUUCUGACGCUAAGAUACGAAAGCGUGGGGAGCAAACAGGAUUAGAUACCCUGGUAGUCCACGCCCUAAACGAUGGAUACUUGGUGUUGGGGGGUUACCCUCAGUGCCGGAGCUAACGCGUUAAGUAUCCCACCUGGGGACUACGGCCGCAAGGCUAAAACUUAAAGGAAUUGACGGGG
rnacentral:rRNA from 1 species